rnacentral:rRNA from 1 species
AGAUUGAACGCUGGCGGCAGGCCUAACACAUGCAAGUCGAGCGGCAGCACGGGUAGUUGUACCUGGUGGCGAGCGGCGGACGGGUGAGUAAUGCCUAGGAAUCUGCCUGGUAGUGGGGGAUAACGCUCGGAAACGGACGCUAAUACCGCAUACGUCCUACGGGAGAAAGCAGGGGACCUUCGGGCCUUGCGCUAUCAGAUGAGCCUAGGUCGGAUUAGCUAGUUGGUGAGGUAAUGGCUCACCAAGGCGACGAUCCGUAACUGGUCUGAGAGGAUGAUCAGUCACACUGGAACUGAGACACGGUCCAGACUCCUACGGGAGCAGCAGUGGGAAUAUUGGACAAUGGGCGAAAGCCUAGAUCCAGCCAUGCCGCGUGUGUGAAGAAGGUCUUCGGAUUGAAAGCACUUUAAGUUGGAGGAAGGCAGUUACCUAAUACGUAUCUGUUUGACGUUACGACAGAAUAAGCACCGGCUAACUCUGU